rnacentral:rRNA from 1 species
UAACCAUAAACGAUGCCAACCAGUAAUUCGCCUGAGUUCCUUAAAUGACUCGGCGAGGGACUUCCGGGAAACCAAAGUCUUUCGGUUCCAGGGGAAGUAUGGUUGCAAAGCUGAAACUUAAAGAAAUUGACGGAAGGGCACCACCAGGAGUGGAGCCUGCGGCUUAAUUUGACUCAACACGGGAAAACUCACCCGGCCCGGACACUGGAAGGAUUGACAGAUUGAGAGCUCUUUCUUGAUUCAGUGGGUGGUGGUGCAUGGCCGUUCUUAGUUGGUGGAGUGAUUUGUCUGGUUAAUUCCGAUAACGAACGAGACUCUAGCCUACUAAAUAGAUCGUCGGCUUACAAACGCCGACGAGACUUCUUAGAGGGACAGGCGGUGAUUCAACCGCACGAAACAGAGCAAUAACAGGUCUGUGAUGCCCUUAGAUGUCCGGGGCCGCACGCGCGCUACACUGAAGUGAUCAGCGUGCUUUUUCAACCUACUCUGUCAAGAGUGGGGAACCCAAUGAACCUUCUUCGUGAUUGGGAUAGGGGAUUGUAAUUAUUCCCCUUGAACGAGGAAUUCCCAGUAAGCGCGAGUCAUAAGCUCGCGUUGAUUACGUCCCUGCCCUUUGUACACACCGCCCGUCGCUACUACCGAUUGAAUGUUUUAGUGAGG